CCCGGGCGCGCCGGGCUCGCUCCAUGCCACGGCCGCUCCGCGCCCCGCCUCCUCCGCCAGCUCCUCCCUCUGCGGGCGGCGGCGGCCGGCUCGCCCUGGGUCCGCGGUGCCCCCCGCAGACCGACCCCGUGCGGGCGACUGGAGAGAAACGAGGGCCAGAAGGUGGGCGCACGGGGGACGCCGGGCAGAACUGGCAGGCUUCCAAACACCUUCUCUAUACCUGGCUCUGGAGAAACAGCAGGAGGCAAGAAAGACAGCCUCUGAACACAAGGCGAAUGUAAGACUACAACCAGUUAACGCAGGCAGUCCACAAGGGUCCAAGAAGACGAACCGUCACAGGCACCCCAGAGAGCAUCUCAAAGGAAACACCUCGUACUGGAUGGGUGAGGAGCCAGCAAAGUGGCCACUCUUAAGCCUACAAAUGCUAAGAGCUGCAAUCUGCACUCCCUACUCUUAAGUUAUGGGGAAGUCAGUACUGCAAAUACCCUGGUUUCUCAGGGUCCCAGGACUCAGGAGGAAGGUUAAACAUACUGGGGGUAGGUAGGGCUGGGCCAGGGCUGGCGGGGCAGAGGGAGCUAACUCUCACCUGUAGGCUUUGAGCCUACACAGAAAGGCAUUCCCAACCAACUUAUUACCGGCUUUCACGCUGCAAAUGAGCUUUCUAACCACAAGCUGGACCAUACCCUCUCCACCCACAACUCCCUCGGCUGCCCGCUAUCCUCAGAGCAAGCCCCAGCCCAUCGUCACUGCCCAGGUUCCAACCUGAGCGCAUGUGUAAUCGUGUAAUCUAAAUACAUUGAUAAGACCUGGGUGUCACCCUGAGAAUCAUCCCCAUGGCCACAAGGAGUCCCCAUGGAGUCCAGAUACACACUACAUAUGAAGUAGAAAAAGCUAGAAACCUACUGAAAGACAUUCCUAGUGUGUUUCUUACCCAUGCUACUAGUCACCAGAACUAAGGACAAAAGAAAAAUAAGUUACUGAUUUCAGAGUGCACCAGGAUCACUAAGAACAAGAACCACUCCUUCCUGAAACUCCGAAGCUGGAGAGAGACACCUUGAUGCAAUUCCUGGGGAUAACCCUCCCAGAAGUGCUGGCCACCAAGGGAGUUCAGCCUUCUCCCCAGUGCCAGAAAUACAGGCAUUUGAGAUGCAAGCCAGGACAUAUGCAUGCUUUGAGCUCAAAUCCAGAAAUCUUGGCUAACUUCUUUCUGGACCCUGACUGAUGCAGUUUGUUCUAAGGAUUCACCUUUGCUAUGCUUUUAUUCAAUAGAAGUAUUAUUUUGUGCCAAACAUGGCAGCACACACCCUUAAUCCCAGAGGCUGGUGGAUCUCUGUGAGUUCCAGGCCAGCCUAGUCUACAUACUGAGUUCCAGAAUGUAGCUAAGGACAUACUCUAGUCUUGGGCAGCUGUCUAUAAUCGUCAUAAUUGUCCAGUGUGCUGCAUUUUUCCCUAGGGUCUCAAAUGUCUUCAUAGCCAUCCACAGUAUGCUAACAACAAAAGUGAGAUCAAUAACCACAAAAACAAAAAUCUUCAACGUCUUACUUAAUAUGAUCUGAGUCAAAGACAUCAGCCAUGACACAUUAUGCUAACACUCAUGCCCAAGUUCUGGCCAAAGUGGAUAACUAGUUUUGUUGUUUUUUUUGUUUUUGUUGUUAUUGUUUUGCAAGUGCCGGGGCUGGAGAGAUGGCCCAGAGGUU